CCCUUAGAUGUCCUGGGCCGCACGCGCGCUACACUGAUGCAUUCAACGAGUUUUACCUUGGCCGAGAGGCCUGGGCAAUCUUUUAAACCUGCAUCGUGAUAGGGAUAGAUUAUUGCAAUUAUUAAUCUUGAACGAGGAAUUCCUAGUAAACGCAGAUCAUCAAUCUGCAUUGAUUACGUCCCUGCCCUUUGUACACACCGCCCGUCGCACCUACCGAUUGAAUGGUCCGGUGAAGCCUCGGGAUUGUGGCCAGUUCACUUUAUUGGGAGCUGGCUGCGAGAACUUGUCUAAACCUUAUCAUUUAGAGGAAGGUGAAGUCGUAACA
rnacentral:rRNA from 1 species